CUACGGGCUGCAGCAGUGGGGAAUAUUGCACAAUGGGGGAAACUCUGAUGCAGCAACGCCGCGUGGAGGAUGACACUUUUCGGAGCGUAAACUCCUUUUAUAUAGGAAGAAGAUGACGGUACUAUAUGAAUAAGCGCCGGCUAACUCCGUGCCAGCAGCCGUGGUAAUACGGAGGGCGCAAGCGUUACUCGGAAUCACUGGGCGUAAAGAGCGUGUAGGCGGAUUAAAAAGUCAGAAGUGAAAUCCUAUAGCUUAACUAUAGAACUGCUUCUGAAACUCUUAAUCUAGAAUAUGGGAGAGGUAGAUGGAAUUUCUGGUGUAGGGGUAAAAUCCGUAGAGAUCAGAAGGAAUACCGAUUGCGAAGGCGAUCUACUAGAACAUUAUUGACGCUGAGACGCGAAAGCGUGGGGAGCAAACAGGAUUAGAUACCCCGGUAGUC
rnacentral:rRNA from 1 species